CCGUUCCGUCUUCUUCUGGGUCUUCACCGGUCUCAGCCAUCUGUACACCAUUAAUCAGGCCUUACCUGCCUCGGUACGCCACCCAGCUCCAUCGUUAUCUGUCACCUCCACCACAGCACUGUCCUUUAGCAGGCCUCUCUUCACACAGUGAAACCCUUACAGAUGGUCCAGGAGGAGGCGGCGCGUCUGGUUUUCAAUCAGCCUAAAAGGGCACAUGUCACUCUGCUGCUCACUGACCUCCUCUGGCUGCGCCACAUUCAAGGCAUUAAUUCUGCCCACAGAGAAUUCUGGGUCUGCUCCAUGUACUUGAACUCAGUCAUUCAGGCUCAUGCUCCCUCUCUGCCACUGUGUUUCUCAAAGGAACAUUGUCUGGUGGUGCGUUCCUACACACAAAGCAAUCACUGUUGUGGUUCCCUGAUGGUGGAACAAGCUGCCAACAGGCCAGCAGGACGAGAGCAGAGUGUGGCCCCGGGGCCCGACCCUCCAUCCACAGAGGAGAAGAGGACUCAAACACAAAGACAACAAAAAGACCCCCAAUGAAAGAGAAGAGUCCAUGGAUCUCAUCAUGUGGAAAGCAGGUCUUUGUGCUCAGACUGUAGGAGAUGGAUGCAUUAAGGAUGUUUCUGGGUUUGAAAACGAUGCAAUGACCGGCCAUGUGAAUAACACAGAGGAUUUAAUCUUAUAUAAGACUCAAGGAGCGAAUAUGAAUUCAUUUUGGGAGUAGAAUUCAUUCUUGACUUGACUUUCAGUGAAGAAAAUAUUUGUUAAUUGCUAAAUUUAUAUGAAUGAGAAAAGACUAGUUGAUUACACUAAGUUUCUAUUUGAUGUUUUAUAUUGUACAUGAGAGGAACAAUAA